CACAGGUGCUGCAUGGCUGUCGUCAGCUCGUGUCGUGAGAUGUCCGGUUAAGUCCGGUAACGAGCGCAACCCUCGCUGUAUGUUAUACGUGUCAUACGGGACUGCCGGUAUCAAGCCGGAGGAAGGUGGGGAUGACGUCAAGUCAGCAUGGCCUUUAUGUCUGGGGCUACACACACGCUACAAUGGCCAGUACAAUAGGUUGCAAGACCGCGAGGUGGAGCCAAUCCUAAAAGCUGGUCUCAGUUCGGAUUGCAGGCUGCAACUCGCCUGCAUGAAGUCGGAGUUGCUAGUAACCGCGCGUCAGCUAUAGUGCGGUCGAAUACGUUCCCGGGCCUU
rnacentral:rRNA from 1 species